AUGUCCGGCUCCUCCGAGCUGCCUUCCAUCGAUGGCGAUGGCGGCGGCGGCAUGCCGUGGCAGACCGCUUCGGCAACCGUUGCCCGGCCACUGCCCAUAUCCGGCUCGCACGUCCUCAAGAUCGACGGCUACUCCCGCACCAAGAGCCUCGUCAGCGGCGAAGGCGUCACGUCCGAGACCUUCGCUGUUGGACGCCAUCGCUGGUUCAUGAGGUACUUCCCGGACGGCCACUCGUCCGACCAAUCUGGUUGGAUAUCCAUCUAUCUCCAUCUUGUUCACCCCGAUAGUGAUGACGAUCACGUCGAUGCCCGGUGCAAGAUCAGUUUGCUCGACCAGGACGGGGAGCCGGUGCCGUCGCAUGGCGCCGACAGCCAAACAUGCCACACCUUCUCGAGCAACACGGGACCAUGGGGCUGUCCGUGGCUCAUCACAAGGAGGGACCUGGAGGAAUCGGUUUACCUCAAGGACGAUGUUUUCAGUGUCAAGUGCGAAAUCACCGUGCCCGGGGAGAUCUUCACGGAGCCCAUCUCCAUGUUUGUCGCCGCGCCGCCUUCUGACAUGCACCGCCAUUUUGGCCGGCUCCUCUCCACCGGCGACGGGGCUGAUGUCACGUUUGAGGUGGGGGGCGAGAGGAUUGCGGCGCACAGGUGCGUGCUCGCCGCUCGGUCAUCGGUGUUCAUGGCGGAGCUUCUUGGACCGGAGAAGAAGGAGAAGGCCGGUGCUUCUUGUGUGCGCAUCACUGGCAUGGAAGCUGGAGUGUUUAAGACCAUGCUCCAUUUCAUUUACACAGACUCGCUGCCAGACAUGGAGGAGGGUGACGCGGUAGUGAUGGCUCAACGUCUGCUUGUAGCGGCGAACGAGUAUAAACUUGAGAGGCUAAAGUUGCUUUGCACGCAGAAGCUCUGCAGAUACAUGGACAAAGACGUUGAGCCUCAUCAACCGUUCGUGAGCUUUGUUUGA
rnacentral:rRNA from 1 species